CACGUAGGGUGCGAGCGUUGUCCGGAAUUAUUGGGCGUAAAGAGCUCGUAGGCGGUGUGUCGCGUCGGCCGUGAAAACCUGCAGCUUAACUGUGGGCUUGCGGUCGAUACGGGCAUCACUGGAGUUCGGCAGGGGAGACUGGAAUUCCUGGUGUAGCGGUGAAAUGCGUAGAUAUCGGGAGGAACAUCAGUGGCGAAGGCGGCUACCUGGCCCAAUACUGACACUCAGGUGCGACAGCGUGGGGAGCAAACAGG
rnacentral:rRNA from 1 species